UACGUAGGGGGCAAGCGUUGUCCGGAAUCAUUGGGCGUAAAGCGCGUGUAGGCGGCCAUGUAAGUCCGUUCUGAAAGCCCGGGGCUCAACCCCGGGAGGCGGAUGGAUACUGCAUGGCUCGAGUACGGAAGAGGCGAGUGGAAUUCCCGGUGUAGCGGUGAAAUGCGCAGAUAUCAGGAGGAACACCGGUGGCGAAGGCGGGUCUCUGGGCCGAUACUGACGCUGAGGAGCGAAAGCGUGGGGAGCGAACAGG
rnacentral:rRNA from 1 species